rnacentral:rRNA from 1 species
GACGAACGCUGGCGGCGUGCUUAACACAUGCAAGUCGAACGGAAAGGACCUGCUUUUGUGGGGUGCUCGAAUGGCGAACGGGUGAGUAACACGUGAGUAACCUGCCCUUGACUUUGGGAUAACUUCAGGAAACUGGGGCUAAUACCGGAUAGGAGCUCCUGCUGCAUGGUGGGGGUUGGAAAGUUUCGGCGGUUGGGGAUGGACUCGCGGCUUAUCAGCUUGUUGGUGGGGUAGUGGCUUACCAAGGCUUUGACGGGUAGCCGGCCUGAGAGGGUGACCGGCCACAUUGGGACUGAGAUACGGCCCAGACUCCUACGGGAGGCAGAAGUGGGGAAUAUUGCACAAUGGGCGGAAGCCUGAUGCAGCAACGCCGCGUGCGGGAUGACGGCCUUCGGGUUGUAAACCGCUUUCGCCUGUGACGAAGCGUGAGUGACGGUAAUGGGUAAAGAAGCACCGGCUAACUACGUG